rnacentral:tRNA from 1 species
GGAGAGGUACCGAAGUGGUCAUAACGGGGCGGUCUUGAAAACCGUUAGGGCCUUCAAAGCCCACAUGGGUUCGAAUCCCAUCCUCUCCGCCA